AUGGAGGCAAAGGCGCUCCCCCUCUCGCACUACCGCGCGCGGGCGGGCUCGCCGCUCCUCCUCUCCGCAGACGCCAGCUCCGCCGCGCGCAAGGGCUCCGGCGCGCCAGGCAGGAGCAGGGCCUCGAGGUAUGACGCGGGAGCGCCUCCGAGCAGGGCAGGGAUGAAUGGAGUUCCAAAGCUUAAUCCCAAAUUCUCCACCAGAAGAGCAGGGACAAGUAAGGUUCCAAUUAUUAAUUUCGAGGUUUCUCAUCACAGAGCAGUUGCAGCGGUGAGGUUGCUAAGAGCUGAUAAGGGGAAGGCGUUUGUUGAUCUUUUAAAUGAGAAAGCAAACGAUUCUGGGGAAAAUGAGAUGGGCUAUGUAGAAAGGACGUUAGGAUUCAGCACACGACAUUUGGAUGACAGGGAUAUAAGAUUGGUUACUGUCAUAGUAGCUGGAACUGUACGUUGGAAACGCUACAUUGAUUAUCUUAUCAUGUCACUCUGUAGUGAAGAGAAGGUGUUCAGCAACAUGGAACCGCUGCUGCUGCAGAUAUUGCGAAUUGGCUUCUUUGAAAUUCUCAAACUUAAUGUACCAGCUUAUGCUGUCGUUGAUGAGAAUGUAAGGCUCGCGAAAGUAGCUUUAAGGCCCGGUGCUGGGAACAUGGUGAAUGCGAUUCUGCGUAAACUUCUGUUACUGAAGGAGACAGAUUCUCUUCCUCUUCCAAAGAUAGAAGGUGAUGAUCGUGCCCAAGCUCGUGCUCUUUCCAUAAUUUAUUCUCAUCCUGUUUGGAUGGUGAGAAGGUGGAUUCGAUUUCUUGGAAAAGAAGAAGCUCUAAAAUUGAUGAAUUGGAAUAACAGUGACCCUUAUUUCAGUUUAAGGGUGAACACAACAAAUGGUUAUACAAGGGAUGAUCUUGUUAACCGAUUGGAAGAUUUGCAGGUUCACUAUGAAAAGUCAAUUAUGGACGAAUUUGUCCGCAUUCGUGAGGGCAUGCAGGCAGUCUUACAAGCUGGAUUACUGAAAGAAGGCAUGUGUGCCGUGCAGGAUGAGAGUGCAGGUUUUGUUGUGUCUGUGGUCGAUCCACAACCUGGGGAAACAAUCAUGGAUUGUUGUGCUGCACCUGGCGGGAAGACUUUAUUCAUGGCAUCCCGGCUGGCAGGACAAGGGAAGGUAUCAGCUCUUGACAUAAAUAAAGGCCGCUUGCGAAUUCUCAUGGAGGCAGCAAAGUGCCACAAUCUUGAUGAUAUAAUCACUGAUAUCCAUGGUGAUCUUCGACUAUAUGCUAAGGAAAGCACUGCCAAAUAUGACAAGGUAUUGUUGGAUGCUCCAUGCUCUGGGCUGGGAGUCCUUUCCAAGAGGGCAGACUUGCGUUGGAAUCGACAAUUUGAAGAUCUGGAGGAGUUGGUGUGUUUGCAAGAUGAGCUCCUUGAUUCGGCCUCAUCAUUGGUAAAACCUGGUGGUAUACUAAUAUACAGUACAUGUUCCAUUGACCAUGAAGAAAAUGAGAACCGGGUUACUGCUUUUGUUCAGAGGCAUCCGGAGUUUACCCCACAGGGUGUACAAGGAUUUGUUCCUGCAGAAUUCAUCACAGAUGAUGGUUUCUAUUCCUCAAGUCCAACUAAGCACUCUCUGGAUGGGGCAUUUGCUGCUCGUCUUGUCCGGUCAAUGCACUAG
rnacentral:rRNA from 1 species